rnacentral:rRNA from 1 species
GUGGGGAAUCUUUCGCAAUGGGCGAAAGCCUGACGCAGCCAUUCCGCGUGAAUGAUGACGGUCUUAGGAUUGUAAAAUUCUUUCACCGGGGACGAUAAUGACGGUACCCGGAGAAGAAGCUCCGGCUAACUUCGUGCCAGCAGCCGCGGUAAUACGAAGGGGGCUAGCGUUGCUCGGAAUUCCUGGGUGUAAAGGGCGCGUAGGCGGACAGCUUAGUCAGAGGUGAAAGCCCAGGGCUCAACCUUGGAAUUGCCUUUGAUACUGGCUGUCUUGAGUUUGGGAGAGGUGAGUGGAACUCCGAGUGUAGAGGUGAAAUUCGUAGAUAUUCGGAAGAACACCAGUGGCGAAGGCGACUCACUGGCCCAAUACUGACGCUGAGGCGCGAAAGCGUGGGAAGCAAACAGGAUUAGAUACCCGAGUAGUCC